UGGGGAAUCUAGCACAAUGGAGGAAACUCUGAUGCAGCGAUGCCGCGUGAGUGAAGAAGGCCUUUGGGUUGUAAAGCUCUUUUGUAGGGGAAGAUAAUGACUGUACCCUAAGAAUAAGGUCCGGCUAACUUCGUGCCAGCAGCCGCGGUAAUACGAAGGGACCUAGCGUAGUUCGGAAUUACUGGGCGUAAAGCGCGCGUAGGCCGUUGAGUUAGUUAAUUGUGAAAUCCCAAAGCUUAACUUUGGAACUGCAAUUAAAACUGCUCGACUAGAGUUUGAUAGAGGAAAGCGGAAUACAUAGUGUAGAGGUGAAAUUCGUAGAUAUUAUGUAGAACACCAGUUGCGAAGGCGGCUUUCUGGAUCAACACUGACGCUGAGGCGCGAAAGUAUGGGUAGCAAAGAGGAUUAGAUACCCUCGUAGUCCAUACCAUAAACGAUGAUUGCUAGAUGUUGGAAAUUUAUUUUCAGUAUCGCAGCUAACGCAUUAAGCAAUCCGCCUGGGGAGUACGACCGCAAGGUUA
rnacentral:rRNA from 1 species